GCGCAUGCGCGUACUUCCGUGUCAGUUCUGCGAGCGUUGAACGUACCAGGUACCCGUAGAAGUCUUCGGGGCGCUGAUAGAACAUGGUGUUGAGCACUUCUUCCAGGCGUUGCGGCACUUCGUUGUUCCGACUCUUCUAACUCUUCGUGACCUCAUGAACCAACCCACGCCAGAGCUCCCUGUCAGCCGUGGCCACCCCAGCUCCUUCAAGGUCAAGCCAGUCACUUCAAGGAUACCAUCCAUCCAUCUUGCCCUUGGUCGGCCCCUCUUCCUUUUUCCUUCCAUUUUCCCCAGCAUUAUUAUCUUCUCCACGCUUUCCUGUCUACUCAUUAUGUGGCAAAAUACUUCAUCUUUGCCUCUAAUAUCCUUCCCUCCAGUGAGCAACUGGGCAUCAUUUCCUGGAGUAUGGACAUGUUGGAUCUUCUUGCGGUCCAAGGCACUCUCAGAAUUUUCCUCCAACAUCACAGUUCAAAAGCGUCUAUUUUCCUUCAAUCAGCCAUCCUUAUGGUCCAGCUCUCACAUCCAUAAGUAAUGGGGAAUAUCAUUGCUUUAACUAUGCAGACCUUCAUUGCCUGUGUGAUGUCACUAACACUUAAAGGAAAGAUAUUAUACUGAGUUUAGGCCCCUUCACACAGCUGUUUAAAAUCUCCAUUGAACUGGAUUGCAUGGCAGUGUGGACUCUGAUAACCCAGUUCAAAGCAGAUAUUGUGGAUGAUCUGCCUUGAUAUUCUGGGUUGUAUGGCUGUGUGGAAGGGCCUUCAGUUGGCUUUGUGGGGGUUUCACCAUCUUCCCUUUAGUGCCCCUAAAUGGUGCCCAAAAAGAGAGUAGUUACUGCAUUGUCGAAGGUUUUCAUGGCCGGAAUCACUGGGUUGCUGUGUGUUUUCCAGGCUGUAUGGACAUGUUCCAGAAGCAUUCUCUCCUGGCGUUUCACCCACAUCUAUGGCAGACAUCCUCAGCGGUUGUGAAGUCUGUUGGAAACCUCUGAGGAUGCCUGCCAUAGAUGUGGGUGAAAUGUCAGGAGGGAGUGCUUCUGGAACAUGGCCAUACAGCCUGGAAGACUCAAAACCACUCAGAGUAGUUAGUGUGUUGCAGUUCUUCAUCUUUUCAUACUUCAUGCUUCAAACCCUUAAUCAAUACCAGUUCUUUGUAGCCUUGUCAAAGGAGUAUGCAUGUAUUUUGGGAUUUGUGUAGGUACAGCUUAUUCUUCUCAGGGCAAAACAUGCAGUGGAUCUACUCUGUAGAAUGAAUGCAGUUUGACACCACUUUAGCUGCUAUGGAAUCCUGGAAACGGCAGUUAGGAAAGGCACUAGCACUUCUGGGCAGAGAAGGCCAAAAACCUUGUAAAACUAUAAUUUGCAGACUCCAUUGCAUUGUAGGCGCCAUGGCAGUUAAAGUGGUGCCAAACCACAUUCAUUCUACAAUAUAGAUCAGGUAUGGACAAACUUUGGCCCUCCAGGUGUCUUGGUGGGAGUUGAAGUCCAAAACACCUGGAGGGCCCAAGUUUGCUCAUGCUUGGUGUAUAUACACCCAUGGCUUAUUGUGAUGUCCAAAUACAGUCAUUCCCCCUUCAUAAAUUUUGUGUUUUCCUGUAAUUCUUCUUUGGUUGCUUAUACAGUAGCAAUGCGGUAUCCUAAAUUUGUACUUCAAUAGCUACAACUGUUUAGCCAUAUCAUAACAAAUCACAAUGCAAUGUUUUCAAAGUGUUUGGUUGUUAUAACGCUACAGUAAAAUGCUGCUGUUGAGCCUGUUUUUUACUUGAACUGUGUAUUUGAACUCAUGCCACUUUAAAUAUCCCCAUGUAAAAAGUGGGGAUAACUACUUAAACACCAUUUAUUAUUGUAUACAAGGACCAUAGGAAAAUCUAACUUCAGUAAUAUUUCUUUAUGAAUCUUGUCUAUAUUAAACCACACUUCCAGAAGCAUUGGGUGUAGUUUUUGGAUUGAGAUAUGUAAGGCCCUUUUAUUUCUGAACACAGAGUAUUUACUGUUUCUUAAGACUUUUCAGAGGUUGGUUAUGAUAUUUAUCACCAGAAAUUUUCUAGCAGGUACCUUUUAGGAUAUACUCUUUGAACAACGAAAUUGCCAAAGAUUACCAUCCUGAAAGAGACACAGAUUACAUCUUGCAAACUGUCUAGCAAAGAUAAAGGAAGGGAACCCCCUUCUUGUUGCUAUUUCUGUAUAUUUAAAAAAAAACCUUUACUUUUGAUGAAAAGGAACAUUGCAAAGUCUAAACGAUUGCUUUUAGCCUGCAAUUUACCCACAAAAACUUUCACAUUGUUACUUUCUUCCUUCGUAAUUUUGUUGAACUAACUGAAAGUGGAUACACUUAAAAUGCUGUUAGCUGUAUACUUCCUCAGGUCUAAAAUCAAUGUACACGGAUCUCCCUCUUUGUGUGUUCACUUCAGUGGGCUGGGGAGUAAUGAAGAAAAAUCUUCACUGAGUCAUUUUCUUUUCCUUUCACAUAUUUUCUAAAAUAUGAGGGUAUCUCUCCAGGGAGUUAACCCUCUUCAUGACUUUGUAUUCACCACAGAAGUUUCUGAAUUGAGAAGACAUUCCCUAAAGGAAAUGUGAUCAGGAUAUCAGUGUGUUGCUACAUCUCUUGAGUUUUGAUUCAAUGGCAGAAUAGUCUCCACUUGUGUUAGAGAUGUCCUCUGAUAAAAUGUUCUUGAUUCAUUUGAGUUAUAUUUAGUAAAGUUCAUAUUUGUGAGAAAUAAUUUUGCGGGUUGAGCAUAGUAUCUGAAAUGUUUGGGAUCAAAAAGUGCUUUGGAGUCUGAUUUUUUAUUUCAUUUUAUUUUAUUUGGAAUACCAAUAUUUGGAUAUAUAUGUUUGCAUAAUAUCUUGGCAAUAGGAUCUAAGUUGAAUCAUGAAAUUCUUAGAUGUGUAUAUGUCAAACUAUAUGUACAGUAGAGUCUCACUUAUCCAACAUAAACGGGCCGGCAGAACGUUGGAUAAGCGAAUAUGUUGGAUAAUAAGGAGGCAUUAAGGAAAAGCCUAUUAAACAUCAAAUUAGGUUAUGAUUUUACAAAUUCAGCACCAAAACAUCAUGUUAUACAACAAAUUUGACAGAAAAAGUAGUUCAAUACACAGUAAUGUUAGGUAGUAAUUACUGUAUUUACGAAUUUAGCACCAAAAUAUCACGAUAUAUUGAAAACAUUGACUACAAAAAUGCGUUAUCCAGAAAGUUGGAUAAGCGAGUGUUGGAUAGGUGAGACUCUACUGUAUGUCUGUUUUUAACCACAAAGGCUGUUGCUAGGUGUAGGAUUGGCCUUUGCUAGGUAAAGUGGUCUUUUGCGAUGUCACUGGGAAAGAUCAAUAACAUGUGUAUGAGGCAGAGGGUGGAAGGAAAGAGAAAGAGGAAAAUGGAAGGAAGGGAGGAGGAAGAAAGGAAUAAGAGAGAAGGGAAAGAAAAGGUAUGGGGGGAAAGGAGGAAAGAAGUGAAGUGAAAGGAAAAGAAAGGAAAGGAAGAAUGGAAGGAGCAAGGGAGGAAAGAGAGAAAAAGACGGGAAGGGGAAGGAAAGAAAGAGCCAAAAAUUGAGCCUGCUCACUGUUGCUAGUGUAAUGUCCUACACCAUAGUCACGUAGCCUGAAAGUAGUUUUUACAUACUAUUUGUAAUAAUUUUGUGCAUGAAACAAAGUUUGUGUGCCUUGAAUAAUCAAAAAGCAAAAGUGAAUGAUUAUGGAGUAGUCUUUCUUGAUUUCAGGAUUCCAGAUAAGGAAUUCCAGUUUUUGGCUAUCCCGAAAUUAGGCAGCAUAUUGUUUUGCCUGUAAUUAUUGGCUUGCCUCGUUUAAGAUAAGAAUGUAUUUUCCUAAAUGGUCACUAUAUGAAUUCCUGCUAAAACGAGAUAGAUAUAUUAUACAAUAUUGCUAGCAUCUACCCAGAAGUCAAAUUUUGUGUAAUUCCAAGGUUGCAGGACAUCUGCUAGAUUGCAAUGUAAUGUUUUCAGUGAAUUACUUGUAUUAAUUACUAGCAUAUAUGCCCAGUGUUGCCCAAGUGUUGUUGGGACUGCUGUCUGCCUACUUUCUCCCUUCUCCAGCUCUGAGAAGGCCCACCUCACAAUGUUGUUAGAAAAGUUGUGGACCCCCUGCUUUUAUCCCUUCUUUCUAUUUUCUUCCCCUCACACCUUUCCCCCUUUCCUUUCUCUGCUUUCUCUCCUUUUUCUUUCUUCCCCCCUUACUUCCUUCUCCUUUCUUUCCUCUCCCCUUUCUCUUUUCUUCAGCUCUUAGAGGGCUUCACAAUGGCUCCAUGGCAAUAUGGCACUCUUUGUGGCUCUUUCCUUCCUUGCUUGCUUCCCCGCAUACAUAUAUUACCUUCACCUCGAGUAGACAUUGCUUCUACUAUCUUUGGCCCAAUCCAUAUUGCAUAUAACGCAAUUUCAAACUACAUUAUAUGGCAGUGUAGAUGAGGCCUUUGCUUUUGAUACAACUGGAUAUAGAUGAAAACACAGAAUUGUAAGCUUUAUUGCUAUCCACCUACCAUAUAGGCUCAAUUGCAGCACAGUGCAUCCAAUUGCCAACCCCCCCCCCCCCCCAGGCAUUCCAGAAGGAUACCAUGAUUGAUGGUAUUGAAAGCUGUUGAGUGGUCUAGAAGCACCAACUUGGCAGUGUUAAGAAGGUCAUCCUCUAAGACAACCAUAGCAGUCUCAACUUGAUAUCCUGUUCUGAAGCCAGUUUGAAAUGGGUCAAGGAAGUGUGUGUCAUCCAAGACCAUUUUAAUAGAUCCUCCACCUCUGCAAGGAUAGGUUGUAGCUGUGAUACUAGCCCUGACCAAAAAGUGAUAUGUCCAUGACAACUUGGAGGUAUUGAUAAUCUCUGCCCACAGAUCCAUCCAUUCCAAGCUAAAAAUGGCAUCAAGAGUAUGACCCGCUGAAUGUGUCCAGUAAACAAUUGGGAUAGGUCCAUGUUUGUCACGGAUACCAUGAACUCCCAAGCUGCACUUGACAAACUGGCCUCCAGUGAUAUGUUGGAGUCACUCAGAAGCAAAAUUCUGGGUGACUCCAACAAUACCUCUGAGACUAGUUCCGUGAGCUCAGCGAAGGAGUCUGUUAGGUAGUGGUGUGAACGGCACACUAACAGAAUCCUUAGUCUAUCCCUGGUUUUCAGACUCAGAUAAUACACUCAAUGUGAUUCAGCUCCCUAACAGGUAAUCUGGUCAAGUUAAAAUGGUCUUUAUAGACCACAGUUACUCCCCCCCCCCCCCAAGGUCUACUUUCCCUCACAUAUGAAAAUAAGGAUGUUUUUGACUCUGCCUCUUCAUGGGGUUUUCCCAUAAGAAGUGAUCAGAAAUAAGGAAUGGUUCUCCUGUUAGUGCAAGAUCUUUCACUUCCAGCUGUUCUAGGAUACAAAGAAGAAAAUAAUUGCUUACUUCAGAACAGCCCCCUACCACUAACUUCUAAGCUUAUGGGAAAUGGGCAUCAAUUUUCCCUAAUCCAUUUGGAGAUCGUAGUGUGUAAAUUCUUACAUGCCACACAUCAUAGGUUAUUUAUAUAGCAGAGAAUGAUUUCAAGGCUUACUAAGAGAUUCCAUUGUACUGACAUUAUGAAGGAGCUAUUGUGAGCUAUCAUGUCAAGGCUUACUUAAAGACUUAUUAGUUCAAGGAUCAUUGACACAAUAGACUAAUGACUCUCAUGGCAGUGUUGUCAUUCAUCGUGGUAAUGUGCUUGCAGACAGAAGGCUUGCGUACUUGCAUGCUUCUUCAUCAGUUAUUGCUAUAUCUAUGCAAAUAAUUCAUUGUUCUCUAUAUUUUCAAAAUGGAGGAUCACAAUAAUUUUCUAGGAUGAUAAUUUAAAACUAUUAUUGUGGAAUAUUUUUAAAAACCAAACAAUAACCAGUUUAGGAGGGAAAUUGAGAUAUAUAUGUCCUAAUUAAUAAAUAUUAUGAAAGCAUAUUAUAUCCUGAAUUGCUUACACUUUGAUUUGAACCAAAGAACAUUGAAUAUGUUACUAUAUAGGAUUUGGUUAGGCACUUAGAUACUCUGGAUAAGUGAAAAUUGUGACUUACAUCCUCUCAGCUUCAGACUUUGCCCACCCUGAUGAUGCCCUACUUAAUAGUCACAUAAUUAUUACUCCUCCAUUAAAGCAUAAGUUGUUGUGGGCCAUCCCUUUCCUAGCAGCAUAGUGUGUGUCCUAUUGCAUGAAAUUGUACCUGGGUUUUGGAGAUCGUGACCCCUUGGGUUUUUGAUGGUUCAGUGUACACCAACUUUGUUUCAUGCACAAAAUUAUUAAAAAUCUUAUCUGAAAUAACAUGCAAGGUAUGUGUGUAAGGUAUAUAAAACAUAAAUGAACUUCAUUUUUAGAUUUGGAUCCCAUCCCCAAACUAUGGUAUAUCAUUAUGCACAUAUAUCCAAAUAUAACGAUUCCAAAAUUUUAAAAACAUCAAAAUCAAAAACACUUCUGGUCCCAAGCAUUUCAGAAGAGAUACUCAGCUGGUACUUUUGUAGUAUUUUCAUUGUUUCUGGAGGGUUUUUUUCUGAUUCUUGUUAUUCUGGUUGUUGUGAUUGUUUUUUAUGGUUUUCACUGUUUUACGAGUUGUAUAGGUUUUUAAUUUUGUUUUAAUAAUGUGUGUAUUGUGCUGCUUAUGUAAUGUAUGUUGUUGUUUUUAUGCUUGUAAACCGCCCCGAGUCCCUUUGGGAGAGAGGGCGGUAUAUAAAUAAAGUUUUACUUACUUAC